CACAAAAUCUUCCAAAAAUUUAAAAAAUAUAUAAUAAAAAUAAAAAAGAUAUAUAAGAAAUUUUUUUCUCUCAAUCACAAACACCAACUCACUCUCAUCGAUAAAUAUUUUCACGCACUGUGAUAAGUCGUGAGCCGACUGUCGAUUGCUGCGCCGACCGCCGCUCCGAUCACCGCACCGACCGACACUCUGACCACCACUCAGAUCUAGAAACUGAAUCCUAAUAGUGUAUUGAAGGUUGGUAUGCAGAUAUUGAUGUAUUACAACAACAAACCCAGUGUAUUCCCACAUAGUGAGGUCUGGGGAGGGUAAGAUGUGCACUCUCUCUAUUGAUUCUAAGUAUCCUUGGACCAUUUCUAUAUGGAGUUUAUUUGUCAUAGGUUGUGCAAUCCAAAUUGCAGGAAUUUUAAGGCUGCUGAUUAUCCUUGGUUUAGUGGGAUUUUAAAGCAACUUGUUGGCCCUUUGAGUACACAGUUAUCUGAUCGGCGAUCCAACAUAAUCUAAUAGAUGCUCUCUAACAGCUCGUGGGACAUGAAUGCCUUCUCUGUACAUAUGAAAUGUACUUCUCUGUACAAAUAGUCUUAAAGAAUCAUGAAUCAACAAGGGUGUUCGAGAAAUUAUCAGAAAGCUAAAAACUUUCUUCCAGCUGGAUCACUAGUAGCUCCCAGAACAAGUGCAAUAGGUGCCAGCUAUAUCUCAAGUACCAGAACAAGUGCAACAUAUGGCAGCUAUAUCUCAAGUACCAGAACAAGUGCAACAGGUGUCUCCAGAUUCCACCUCUCUUGCAGCACCAGAAGAGGAGCAAGUACGACAAGAGUUGCCACUCCCACUAUUCGUGCAUCAUAAACCACAGCUGAACGAGUGCAGCAAGAUCAGUCACAACUCACUAAUUUUUAAGCAAAUGAACAAUCUGGAGAAGGAAAGGAUAAAUAUAUAUAUAUAUAUAUUAUCUACAUUUCAGUAAUUUUGUUAUUGAUAUUAUUGUAGUACCUUCAACUAAAAAAAGAAAAAGAGGAAAUACACAAAUGCAAGCAGUACAUGGAUAGACUGACUAUCAACUGAUAGUGCUAAAUGAGUUGAACUAGUCUAUUGGUCUAACUAAAGUAGCGCUCAUUGAAUUUUCCAGCUUUCUUGGCGCAUUGGCAUGGAAUGAGACAUUUUAUCCUCUUAAUCCCAGUUGGACAAAGUUGAAGACACACGAUGAUAUGUGGAGCUAUAUUUAGGAGAAAUAUGUCAUUCUCAACAAUGGAAAAGAUUGGGCUAUGAGCAAUUACUGCUUUUAGAGGGUAUAAGUUUAGACUCAAGAAAGAUCACUUUUAUGUCUACACCGAUAAUGAAAUUCGAAGGGCAAAAAGGCCUAGCAUUGUUUCAAAACUAGUAUUUGAGGAUCUCCUUAAGUAUUGGAAUUCCGAAAAAGCUGAGGUAUGAUAUAAAUGUGAACAACUAUUACAUUAUUAUUAGCAAAUAUUUAUUAUUGAAUUCAUCACGCCUGAUCUUCCUUUUUACGUUUUUCUUUCUUUCUAUAUAAGGCAUCAAAUUCUACAUGUUAAAACUUUCAUUGUCUCGAUAUGUUUAUUAAAAACUUAUUCAUAAAUAUUGUCUUGUAGGAUAAAUCCAUUACUAACAAAGAAAAUAGGAAAAAGUUUAAGUAUCCUCACACUACGGGCAAAAUAAGUUUUUCUCUAAUCACCGAGUUUGGUGUUUUCUCAUAUUGUUACUAUGAACUUGUUGACUUUACUUGAUAAUAUUUUAAUGCUGACUUGCAUGUAACUGAGAAAAAAGGAAGGAACAUUUUGGUGCUUUGACAAAUAAAAAAUUCUUUGUGGUUACUAGAAGAAGAAAACCUGAUCGAGUAUGUAAGGACAUAUCUGAAGAGAUUAAAAACAAAAUAGUAUGGAAUUUUUUAUUUCAAAAUUGAUCAAGAUCAUUAUUUUCUUAAAUAUUGAAUCAGCUAAAUUUACUUGCUCUUGAAUCUGAUGUGUAGGUUAAAAUAAAGAGAAAGAGACUCAAGAAAGUGAAGAUGGUACUCAAUCAACUGAUGCAUUCACAACAUUUAUGGGCCUAAUGGUUGAGGAAUUUUUAUUGAGUUUACUUGAAUUGCUUUCCACAUGUUUUAAAUUAUUAAUUCAUGCUCUAAUUUAUGGUUAUGGGGACUAAAUUGGAGCAUUGUAUUAAUGUUUUGAAUGGGGGACAUGGUUUUCCCCAAAUUAACGAAAUUUUGUCUUGUUAAUUGCAUUAACCUCAACCCGCCUUGUUAACUUAAUUUUUAAUAUGGAUAAUUGCAUAGUUUAACUUGUCUUUUGAACCCAUUGCAUUGCAUAAAAGGAUAAAUGAAUUAAUAUAGUUUU